GAUGAACGCUGGCGGCGUGCCUAAUACAUGCAAGUCGAGCGAACAGACGAGGAGCUUGCUCCUCUGACGUUAGCGGCGGACGGGUGAGUAACACGUGGAUAACCUACCUAUAAGACUGGGAUAACUUCGGGAAACCGGAGCUAAUACCGGAUAAUAUAUUGAACCGCAUGGUUCAAUAGUGAAAGACGGUUUUGCUGUCACUUAUAGCUGGAUCCGCGCCGCAUUAGCUAGUUGGUAAGGUAACGGCUUACCAAGGCAACGAUGCGUAGCCGACCUGAGAGGGUGAUAGGCCACACUGGAACUGAGACACGGUCCAGACUCCUACGGGAGGCAGCAGUAGGGAAUCUUACGCAAUGGGCGAAAGCCUGACGGAGCAACGCCGCGUGAGUGAUGAAGGUCUUCGGAUCGUAAAACUCUGUUAUUAGGGAAGAACAAAUGUGUAAGUAACUAUGCACGUCUUGACGGUACCUAAUCAGAAAGCCACGGCUAACUACGUG
rnacentral:rRNA from 1 species